CCAGCCGCCGCGGGAACACCGGCAGCUCUAGUGGUAGCAAUUUUAUGGGCCUAAAGCGUCCGUAGCCGGUUUAAUAAGUCUCUGGUGAAAUCCUGCAGCUUAACUGUGGGAAUUGCUGGAGAUACUAUUAGACUUGAGACCGGGAGAGGUUAGAGGUACUCCCAGGGUAGAGGUGAAAUUCUGUAAUCCUGGGAGGACCGCCUGUUGCGAAGGCGUCUAACUGGAACGGUUCUGACGGUGAGGGACGAAAGUUAGGGGCGCGAACCGGAUUAGAUACCCGGGUAGUCCUAACUGUAAACGAUGCGGACUUGGUGUUGGGGUGGCUUUGAGCUGCUUCAGUGCCGAAGGGAAGCUGUUAAGUCCGCCGCCUGGGAAGUACGGUCGCAAGACUGAAACUUAAGGAAUUGGCGGGGGAGCACCACAACGCGUGGAGCCUGCCGGUUUAAUUGGAUUCAACGCCGGACAUCUCACCAGAGGCGACAGCUGUAUGAUAGCCAGGUUGAUGACUUUGCUUGACUAGCUGAGUGGUGGUGCAUGG
rnacentral:rRNA from 1 species